AGACCGUAUGAAGGAAUGCAUGGUGAAAUGUCAAUAUCCAGAAGUUCGCAAGUACUGCUACGGUUACUAUUGUAAUUCGUACGUCACGGUUAGAUACAUGUACCAACAUGCACUAGACUACAUGUACUGUGGUGACAAGAAGGUUUGCGUACGAGGCGUGUGCAGGGGCAGCGGGGGCAGCUUGCCGCAAAGGCCGGUCACCAGGAGCACAACAACGACAACAACAACAAGGACAACACCAGCUGCUGAGGACACCACUGAAUGUCGUUGCGACUGCAGCUCUACGCAGCCAACCAGUCGGUCUCAUUAUCCACCGCGACCUUCAACUCCAACGAGGAUCAAUGGCUGGCGCCGUAUCAUACGUAGACAAUAAAUGUGUCUUCUCGUUUAA